UACAGAGGGGGCAAGCGUUAUUCGGAAUUAUUGGGCGUAAAGGCGCGUAGGCGGCCAGGCAAGUGGAAGGUGAAAUCCCUCGGCUUAACCGAGGAACUGCCCUCCAAACUGCUUGGCUUGAGACCGGGAGAGGUGAGUGGAAUUCCCAGUGUAGCGGUGAAAUGCGUAGAUAGUUGGGAGGAACACCAGUGGCGAAGGCGAAUCUCUGGACAGUUACUGACACUGAGGCACGAAGGCCAGGGGAGCAAACGGG
rnacentral:rRNA from 1 species